rnacentral:rRNA from 1 species
GUUUAUUUGGAGUUAUAAAUAAUUUGGCCUGCCCCCUGAUGAAAGUAAUUAAAGGGCCGCAGUAUUAUAACUGUGCAAAGGUAGCAUAAUCAUUAGGUUUUUAAUUGAAAUCUUGUAUGAAUGGUCGGACAAGAGAAGAGCUCUCUUUAUAUUAAAACUUGAAUUUAACUUUUAAGUGAAAAGGCUUAAAUAUACUAAAGGGACGAUAAGACCCUAUAAAACUUUACAUUGUAGUUAUAUUUUAGUAAAUUUACAAAUAAAAAUUUAAUUUAAUUAUUUGUUAGGCUGGGGAGGUACAAAUAAACAUUAUUUUAACUGUUUGAUAGUUAUACAAUUAUUAGUGGUAAAAUGAAAAGAUCCUUUAUUAAAGAUUAAUAAAUUAAGUUACUUUAGGGAUAACAGCGUAAUUUCUAUUAAGAGUUCUUAUCGAAAUAGAGGAUUGCGACCUCGAUGUUGAAUUAAAAUUUCUAUAUAAUGAAGCGGUUAUAUAAGAAGGUCUGUUCGACCUUUAAAGUUUUACAUGAUUUGAGUUCAAACCGGCGUGAG